GAUGAACGCUAGCGGCUGGCUUAAUACAUGCAAGGCGAAGGGGCAGCAAUGUCACUGUCGUACGGGUGCGUAACGCGUAUGCAACCUACCUAUCACUGGGGGAUAGCCCGGGGAAACCCGGAUUAAUACCGCAUAACACAGGGGCUCCUCAUGGAGAUAUUUGUUAAAGAUUUAUCGGUGGUAGAUGGGCAUGCGUUCGA
rnacentral:rRNA from 1 species